rnacentral:rRNA from 1 species
GACGAACGCUGGCGGCGUGCUUAACACAUGCAAGUCGAGCGAGGCCCCUCCUUCGGGAGGGUGUCCUAGCGGCGAACGGGUGAGUAACACGUGGCCAACCUGCCCUCAGCUCUGGGAUAACUCCGGGAAACCGGGGCUAAUACCGGAUACGACCUCCACGGGCAUCUGCGGAGGUGGAAAGUUUUUCGGCUGAGGAUGGGCCCGCGGCCUAUCAGCUAGUUGGUGGGGUAGUGGCCCACCAAGGCGACGACGGGUAGCCGGCCUGAGAGGGCGACCGGCCACACUGGGACUGAGACACGGCCCAGACUCCUACGGGAGGCAGCAGUGGGGAAUAUUGCGCAAUGGGCGAAAGCCUGACGCAGCGACGCCGCGUGAGGGACGAAGGCCUUCGGGUUGUAAACCUCUUUCAGCAGGGACGAAGCGAAAGUGACGGUACCUGCAGAAGAAGCACCGGCCAACUACGUG